CGGAUAACGCACAUAUGCUGGAAUGCUUUAUGCGUCAAAUGGAUUCGUCCGCCCAAGGAUGGGUCUGCGGCCUAUCAGGUAGUAGUGGGUGUAAUGUACCUACUAGCCUACGACGGGUACGGGUUGUGAGAGCAAGAGCCCGGAGAUGGAUUCUGAGACAUGAAUCCAGGCCCUACGGGGCGCAGCAGGCGCGAAAACUUUACAAUGCGGGAAACCGUGAUAAGGGGACACCGAGUGCCAGCAUCACAUGCUGGCUGUCCGGGUGUGUAAAAUACACCUGUUAGCAAGGGCCGGGCAAGACCGGUGCCAGCCGCCGCGGUAACACCGGCGGCCCGAGUGGUGAUCGUGAUUAUUGGGUCUAAAGGGUCCGUAGCCGGUUUGGUCAGUCCUCCGGGAAAUCUGACGGCUAACCGUUAGGCUUUCGGGGGAUACUGCCAGACUUGGAACCGGGAGAGGUAAGAGGUACUACAGGGGUAGGAGUGAAAUCUUGUAAUCCCUGUGGGACCACCUGUGGCGAAGGCGUCUUACCAGAACGGGUUCGACGGUGAGGGACGAAAGCUGGGGGCACGAACCGGAUUAGAUACCCGGGUAGUCCCAGCCGUAAACGAUGCUCGCUAGGUGUCAGGCAUGGCGCGACCGUGUCUGGUGCCGCAGGGAAGCCGUGAAGCGAGCCACCUGGGAAGUACGGCCGCAAGGCUGAAACUUAA
rnacentral:rRNA from 1 species